UACGGGGGGAGCAAGCGUUGUUCGGAUUUACUGGGCGUAAAGGGCGCGUAGGCGGCCACCGCAAGUCGACUGUGAAAUCUCCGGGCUUAACCCGGAAAGGUCAGCCGAUACUGCGGGGCUAGAGUGCAGAAGGGGCAACUGGAAUUCUCGGUGUAGCGGUGAAAUGCGUAGAUAUCGAGAGGAACACCUAGGCGAAGGCGGGUUGCUGGGCUGACACUGACGCUGAUGCGCGAAAGCUAGGGGAGCGAACGGG
rnacentral:rRNA from 1 species